GACGAACGCUGGCGGCAUGCUUUACACAUGCAAGUCGAACGGUAACAGGGUGCUUGCACCGCUGACGAGUGGCGAACGGGUGAGUAAUGCGUCGGAACGUGCCGAGUAGUGGGGGAUAACGCAGCGAAAGUUGUGCUAAUACCGCAUACGUACUGAGGUAGAAAGUGGGGGACCUUCGGGCCUCACGCUAUUCGAGCGGCCGACGUCAGAUUAGCUAGUAGGUGAGGUAAAGGCUCACCUAGGCGACGAUCAGUAGCAGGUCUGAGAGGAUGAUCCGCCACACUGGGACUGAGACACGGCCCAGACUCCUACGGGAGGCAGCAGUGGGGAAUUUUGGGCAAUGGGCGAAAGCCUGAUCCAGCCAUGCCGCGUGUCUGAAGAAGGCCUUCGGGUUGUAAAGGACUUUUGUCAGGGAGGAAAUCCCUAGUGCUAAUAACACUGGGGGAUGACAGUACCUGAAGAAUAAGCACCGGCUAACUACGUGCCAGCCGCCGCCGUAA
rnacentral:rRNA from 1 species